GACGAACGCUGGCGGCGUGCCUAAUACAUGCAAGUCGAACGCUUCUUUCCUCCCGAGUGCUUGCACUCAAUUGGAAAGAGGAGUGGCGGACGGGUGAGUAACACGUGGGUAACCUACCCAUCAGAGGGGGAUAACACUUGGAAACAGGUGCUAAUACCGCAUAACAGUUUAUGCCGCAUGGCAUAAGAGUGAAAGGCGCUUUCGGGUGUCGCUGAUGGAUGGACCCGCGGUGCAUUAGCUAGUUGGUGAGGUAACGGCUCACCAAGGCCACGAUUCAUAGCCGACCUGAGAGGGUGAUCGGCCACACUGGGACUGAGACACGGCCCAGACUCCUACGGGAGGCAGCAGUAGGGAAUCUUCGGCAAUGGACGAAAGUCUGACCGAGCAACGCCGCGUGAGUGAAGAAAGUUUUCGGAUCGUAAAACUCUGUUGUUAGAGAAGAACAAGGACGUUAGUAACUGAACGUCCCCUGACGGUACCUAACCAGAAAGCCACGGCUAACUACGUG
rnacentral:rRNA from 1 species